rnacentral:rRNA from 1 species
CCAGACUCCUACGGGAGGCAGCAGUGGGGGAUAUUGCACAAUGGGGGAAACCCUGAUGCAGCGACGCCGCGUGAGUGAAGAAGUAUUUCGGUAUGUAAAGCUCUAUCAGCAGGGAAGAAAAUGACAGUACCUGACCAAGAAGCCCCGGCUAACUACGUGCCAGCAGCCGCGGUAAUACGUAGGGGGCAAGCGUUAUCCGGAUUUACUGGGUGUAAAGGGAGCGUAGACGGUUAUGUAAGUCUGGAGUGAAAGCCCGGGGCCCAACCCCGGGACUGCUUUGGAAACUGUGCGGCUGGAGUGCAGGAGGGGUAAGCGGAAUUCCUAGUGUAGCGGUGAAAUGCGUAGAUAUUAGGAGGAACACCGGUGGCGAAGGCGGCUUACUGGACUGUAACUGACGUUGAGGCUCGAAAGCGUGGGGAGCAAACAGGAUUAGAUACCCUAGUAUA